AAUUUUCAAAGGAUAAGUAUAAGACCUUAAUUUGGAAAUU
rnacentral:ncRNA from 1 species